rnacentral:rRNA from 1 species
UACAGAGGUCUCAAGCGUUGCUCGGAAUUACUGGGCGUAAAGGGAGCGUAGGCGGACAUUUAAGUCAGAGGUGAAAUCCCGGAGCUUAACUUCGGAACUGCCUUUGAUACUGGGUGUCUUGAGUGUGAGAGAGGUAUGUGGAACUCCGAGUGUAGAGGUGAAAUUCGUAGAUAUUCGGAAGAACACCAGUGGCGAAGGCGACAUACUGGCUCAUUACUGACGCUGAGGCUCGAAAGCGUGGGGAGCAAACAGG